UACGAAGGGGGCUAGCGUUGCUCGGAAUCACUGGGCGUAAAGGGUGCGUAGGCGGGUCUUUAAGUCAGGGGUGAAAUCCUGGAGCUCAACUCCAGAACUGCCUUUGAUACUGAAGAUCUUGAGUGCGGGAGAGGUGAGUGGAACUGCGAGUGUAGAGGUGAAAUUCGUAGAUAUUGGGAAGAACACCAGUGGCGAAGGCGGCUAACUGGUCCAGCACUGGACGCUGAGGUGCGAAAGCGUGGGGAGCAAACAGG
rnacentral:rRNA from 1 species